rnacentral:tRNA from 1 species
GACGCUGACCUGCGGUGGGGCAUUCACUCGUAAUGAACAGGUCAUCGGUUCGAUUCCGAUAGGCGGCUCCA